GGACAUACUCUCAAUAUGUUGGAGGCGGGACAAGAGUAGGAAAAGCUGUGCAGCCCCCUAAGAAGCAGGACACCUGACACCUAUACAGUAAUGUCAUUGAACAGCAGCCAAUAGGAGGCUAGUCUGAGAGGAGUGUCAACUGGGAGGGGAACUGCUCAAACUGGUUGGUACACAACAUCAUUUCCUUGUUACCGAGUUGGACGGUUUGAUUUGGCUCACUUCAUUAUAGCAGGGAGAAGACUAAGGUCUCCAGUCUGCUAUGAAUGAGGAGAGAGAGGAGGGGGGUCCUACCUCUAAAACCACUCUGUCUAGGGAACAUGGCCGCCAGAGAAAAGCUAAGAGGUACGAAGAGGAUCUCUCAGUGACUGUUGUCAAUCUCAGAGCUCAGCAGUGAUAUCCUGUGUGUGUGUGUUGUGUUGAAGCCCAGAGCAGCAGGAGAGAGCAGACUCCCCUGGACCCAGCUGUGUCUCCAUGAAGAGUGACUGGUCUAUGGGUCAUCCUCCUGACAUUAAGGAUGGACGGCCCUCCAGAAAGAAGAGGUAGGAGAUUGAAUUAUACAAUGAAAACAGAACAGUUGAUUGUGGGCGGCAGUAGCUCAGGAGGUAGAGCGGGUUGGCUGGUAACCUGAAGGUUGUUGGUUCGAUCCCCGGCUCCUCCUAGCUGAGUGUUGAGGUGUCCUUGAGCAAGGCACCUAACCCUGACGGUUAGCUCCCGACGAGCUGGCUGUCGCCUUGCAUGGUUGACUCCGCCGUGAGUGUGUGCGUGAAUGGUGAAUGUGAGGCAAUAUUGUAAAGCGCUUUGAGUGGCCAAUGGUUAGAAAAGCGCUAUAUAAAUGCAGUCCAUUUACAUUUACAUUGUUAUUAGGAAAGUUAAAACAAAUUAAAUAGAUCUAAAGUAUGUUUUUGUGUAUGUGUGUGUGUUGUGUUUUUGUGCGCGCAUGUGUAUGUUCUCUCCGCAGACAACCCCAUGAGAGAUCAAAGGUUACCAGUGCUCAGUCUGUACAGCAGCAUCAAACAGAGCUGAUCAAGAGGGCUGAGAAAAACGCACACGCUUUUCUAGACAAGGAGCUGAAGAAGCUCUGGAGGAUUAUUUUCCUAGAUUACCCACAAUACUCAGAGAGUCAGAAGGCGGAGGAGGAGGAGAAGGUUGAUAGUAAGAACGAGGAGCAGAGGAGGCGCGCCACAGAGGGAGUGGUAGACAUCACAUUGCUCUGCCUGAUGGAGAUGAACCAGGAGGAACUGGCAGAUAAACUGUGGCGUGGUAAGAGACAAUAAAAUUACUAAUAAGGGCAGUAGAGACUAUUAUCUUGAAAACAGAGAAGAAAUGCUUAGUUUGAAGGGCAGUAUCAAAUAUAUUAUAUAAAUAUAUAUAUAUUUUAUUUUCAAUAUGAAUAAAAUAACAACUAUACGCUAGUCCAGCAAUGCACUGGCAAACAGCACGGAGAGAGUUACAGUUGGCACCAAAACAACAGCUAUCUCAAACCUCCUAUUUUGUUAGGGGUCAAUUUGACCCGAUUCAAUGUUAACGUUUUUUUUGUGUUGGAUGAUGCUGAGGGCACCUACAGAUCCAUUUCCACGCUUCCAAGUUGAAUAGUAAAC
ensembl:lncRNA